GUGGACACCAGAACUGAGAUCCAAGCACGCGCGACCCAGGCACUAGCUAGAAAUCCACUGCCAAACGCGGUUCAUGGUACGAGUUGUUUCAAGAACUACCUGAAUCAGCUGUAACACAGACAGUGUUUAGCGUCUUGAGACCAAAUAAUGUUGAAGCUGACAGCGGGAACUAUUUCAGGUCUGCAAGCUGAUUCUUAGUGAUUCAUCAGGUAUGACGGUGCUUAUCAGAGGUUAAUACCGAAAGAAAGACUGAGAAAGAUUCCACUUAAAGCCAAACAUAGAGGAACCAUUUCUUUGGGUUGCUGUUCCCAAGGGCCAAUUACCUCAUGUUCAUCAAGAGGUCACUGCUACAUAUUAACGCUGGUAGACAAUACUGCUACAGUAGCAGAAAUAUUGUAGAGCAUCUACUCAAGGCAAGGAUUUCCUCAUAAAUGCUUGCUGAUAGAGGAACUCCAAUUACCUCAGAGGUAAUGAAGGAAGUUAGCCGACUUUUUUCAAUCCGUAUUAUCCACAGUGUUAGU